AACCUUUACAAUGCACGCAAGUGUGAUAGGGGGAUCCUAAGUGCUUAUGCUUCGGUAUAAGCUUUUUUCAAGAGUAAAUAUCUUGGAGAAUAAGUGGUGGGUAAGACUGGUGCCAGCCGCCGCGGUAACACCAGCGCCACGAGUGGCAACCGCGUUUAUUGGGCCUAAAGCGUCCGUAGCCGGUUGAAUAAAUCUUCUGUGAAAUCGUCAGGCUUAACUUGACGGCGUGCAGGAGACACUAUUCAACUUGAGACCGGGAGGGGUCAGAGGUAUUCCUGAGGGAGCGGUAAAAUGUGAUAAUCUCAGGAGGAUCACCUAUGGCGAAGGCAUCUGACCAGAACGGUUCUGACGGUGAGGGACGAAGGCUGGGGGAGCGAUCCGGAUUAGAUACCCGAGUAGUCCCAGCAGUAAACUCUGUGAGCUAGAUGUUGCAUAUCCUUGAGGAUGUGCAGUGUCGAAACGAAGGUGUUAAGCUCACCGCCUGGGAAGUACGGUCGCAAGACUGAAACUUUAAGGAAUUGGCGGGGGAGCACCACAAGGGGUGCGGCGUGCGGUUUAAUCUAACUCAACGCAGAGAACCUUACUAGAAGCGACGGCAGGAAGACGGCCUGGCUGAAGACCAUGCUUGACGAGCCGAGAGGUAGUGCAUGGCCGCCGUCAGCUCGUGCUGUGAGGUGUCCAGUUAAGUCUGGCAACGAGCGAGACCUAUACCCUCUAUUGCUAACGGCAACAUGUUGGACCGAGCACAUUGAGGGGACUGCCUUGGAAACAAGGAGGAAGGUGUAGGCAACGGUAGGUCUGUAUGCUCCGAAUCUUCUAGGCUACACGCGCGCAACAAUGGUAAUGACAAUGGGUCGCAACUCCGAAAGGAGAAGCUAAUCCUCGAAACAUUACCUCAGUUCGGAUCGUGGGUUGUAACUCACCCACGUGACGCCGGAAUCCCUAGUAAUCAGACGUCAUCAUCGUCUGGUGAAUAUGUCCCUG
rnacentral:rRNA from 1 species